rnacentral:rRNA from 1 species
UACGUAGGGGGCUAGCGUUGUCCGGAUUUAUUGGGCGUAAAGAGCGUGUAGGCGGCCCGGUAAGUCCGUUGUAAAAGUCAAAGGCUCAACCUUUGAAAGCCGAUGGAUACUGCCGGGCUAGAGUCCGGAAGAGGCGAGUGGAAUUCCUGGUGUAGCGGUGGAAUGCGCAGAUAUCAGGAGGAACACCGAUAGCGAAGGCAGCUCGCUGGGACGGUACUGACGCUGAGGCGCGAAAGCGUGGGGAGCGAACAGG